GACGAACGCUGGCGGCGUGCUUAACACAUACAAGUCGAACGGAAAGGCCCUGCGUUUGUGGGGUGCUCGAGGGGCGAACGGGGGAGUAACACGUGAGUAACCUGCCCUUGACUUUGGGGUAACUUCAGGAAACUGGGGCUAAUACCGGAUAGGAGCUCCUGCUGCAUGGUGGGGGGGGGAAAGUUUCGGCGGUUGGGGCUGGACUCGCGGCUUAUCAGCUUGUUGGUGGGGUAGUGGCUUACCAAGGCUUUGACGGGUAGCCGGCCUGAGAGGGUGACCGGCCACAUUGGGACUGCGAUACGGCCCAGACUCCUACGGGAGGCAGCAGUGGGGAAUAUUGCACAAUGGGCGGAAGCCUGAUGCAGCAACGCCGCGUGCGGGAUGACGGCCUUCGGGUUGUAAACCGCUUUCGCCUGUGACGAAGCGUGAGUGACGGUAAUGGGUAAAGAAGCACCGGCUAACUACGUG
rnacentral:rRNA from 1 species